GCCGCCCAGGCUCUUCCCCUUUUCUCUCCACCCACUUGCUCCAUCCCCGCUCGCCCUGCAGGGAAGCCAGACCGGUUUGCAGCACCAGCCGCGGCGGCGGGAACCUCCGCCGCAGUCGGACUGGGCGCCGGAGUCGGUGCAUGGGGACGCGGAGAGCCGGGCUGGGCCGGGCCCCGAGGUUCGGCCGGUUUCUCCUAGACGCCAGGGUUAGCCGAGGGCGUCCCGGUGGUUCUGAAGUCUUGCAGCCCCGCUAGAGAAAGCCGUGUUUGGGAUAGGACAUCAUCCUCCCUUCCUCAGGCCACUGAACUCUGCAGCGCCUGGUCGCCUGCCCACUGGACUCUGCUGGCCGCGAAGCCCGCAUUUAAGCACAGGUGCCCCCUCCACUAGGAAGGGACAGCUAGCAUUCCGAGGCGACGGCGUGCCCCCUUCUGAUGACAGCAGGAGUUCCCAGGAAGUCAGACCUACCCAACAGGCUUACCUUUGGCCAUUGGAACGUCAGUAGACUUGAUGUAAAUGAAGGCUUGAAAAACGUUUGUGCAACAUACCUAUUAGAAUUUCCAAAAUCCAGAACGCUGACAAUACCAAAUACUGGCGAGGAUGUGGAGCAACAAGAACUCUCAUUCAUUGCUAGUGGGAAUGCAAAACAGUAGAGCUAUUUUGAAAGACAAUUGACAGUUUCUUACAAAAGGAAACAUGACUCUCUCCAUAUGAUCUGGCAAUGAUGUUCCUUGAUAUUUGCCAAAAAGAGCUGAAAACUUAAUUCCAUACAAAAACCUGUACACAGUUUUUAGCAGCUUUAUUCAUAAUUUGGACAAACCUUGGAAGUAACCAACAUGUUCUUUAGUAGGUGAACAGAUAAAUGAACUGGGGUGUCCAGACCCUGGAAUGUUAUAUGAUGGGAAAAAGAAAUGAGCUAUCAAGCUAUGAGAAGACCUAGAGGAAACUUAAAUGCAUAUUGCUGAGUGAAAGAAGCCGGUCUGUAAAGGUUACAUAUUGUUUGAUUCCAAUUAUACAGCACUCUGGGAGAGGCAAACCUAUGGAGACAGUAGAAAGAUCAGCGGUCGCCCCGGGGUUGGGGGUGGGGAGGUUUGAAUGGGUAGAGCACCGAGGAUUUCUAAGGCAGUGAAACUACUCUGUGUGAUACUUCAAUGGUAGAUAGCUAUCAUUAUACAUCUGUCCCAAACCAUACAACGUACAUUCCUAAUGUCAA